UGUGUAUUAUUAUAAUAUCUAGAGUUAUGAAUAAUAUAUUAUUAUGUGAAAACUAAACAAAGCAAUAUAUAUAUAUACUAAAUUAAAUUUUAAAAGAAAAUAACUAAACCUAAACUACGUAUAGUUAAUAGAAAAUAAGUAAAUACUAAAGUUACAUCAGCUAGAACAUCAUAUUCUCUGUUAAAGUAACUACUAAAGUUAUCUUCUUUGUAGAAGCCCAAAUUUGCCGGGCCCAUACCAACAAAAUAACCCAAACAAUAAACCCGAAGCCCAACUACCCCAGCCCAUUAACCUAAGCUCAGCAUUCAGAAACCCUAAUCCCACUAACCCUAGCCACCUACCCCCCACUUGCCCACUUGCCCACUUGCGCCGAACACCACCAUGCCACUGUCGGCCAUGGCCACCUGCAAGAAGCCAAGUAGAAAUAAACAAAUAGAAAAUAAACAUUUGUAAUCGGUUAUAAAAACCGAAAAUCUCACCAUUGAUAGGGGGAUUUUUUAUUUUUUGCUAUGAAAACAAAAGAUUUUCUUUCAAUAUUAACAGAUUCAAUACAAGAACCAUUCGAAAAUAUAUAUACUAUCAGGGGCUCUAACACCAAAUCGGAGAAUCAAAUCUAAAACCUAAGGUGACUCUUUCUUUUUUUUUUCUUUACUGUUUUGAGUUUAUUUUCUACAUAAAAAAAAAAAGGGAGAGGCCAAGGCGAAAACCCGCAAAGGGCACCUUGAAACCAAAGGGGUUUUGAAUUGAAAACCCAGGAAUGGGCAAUUCAAAUUUUCGAUCAAAGAUGAGGCAUAAAGUAGUUUUGUCUUCUUCGAAUUAACAAGAAGGAAAGAUGCUACAUCUUGGGGCAUCAACAAAGCCUUCUAGGACUUCUAAACACAUAUCAAGUUCAAAAGGGUCCUUAAGAAGUUUGGGGCAGAGAAGCUCAUGCUACGAUAUCUGGGGCACCUAUUUCUAUUUUAUUCAUUUUUUUGUAUUUUUGACAAAAUACAUCAUCUUGAUUAAUUUAUUCUCGUUUUGUAUUCUAGCAAAAUUUGCUAUCUUGAUUAAUUUGUUUAUUUAGAGCUUUGCUCUCAGCAAAUUUUCAUCUUAUCCGUUGUGAUAAUCUUUUUCAUCUUAUUCCUCUCGUAUCUCAGCAAAAUUUGCUAUCUUGAUUUGUUUGUUUAGAGCUUUGCUCUCAACAAAAUUUCAUUUUGUCCAUUUUAAUAAUCUUUUUCAAGCAUUUUUCAUUGAAAUAACGAUUAAUGGACUGACAAUACACAUGCAGAAGGAGUUCUGCAUAUUACUCUGAAAGUUUCUAAAUAAUACGAGGACCUGAAACAGGACUAUUGUUUAGAACUAACCAAACCUAAGGGUUGGAAACAUUUGAGAAAUGAUAGUCUAAAUAGCAUCUAUUUCUUUAGGUUUUCUGUCAAAGGUACUGGCUGAACAAGAAGGCAUCAGUGAUAGAACCUUGAUGAACAAUGAGGAAUGACAACCUAAGCAUUAAAAAUGAAUCAUUCUCAUGACAUUCUACAAAUAUAAUACAUACACAUCUAGUUAGGAGCAUUUGAUUCAUUCUGAUCAUGUCAUCCUAAACACUAGGCGUAAAUAGGUCCUAUCUUCCUAUAUUGGUAGGAAGUGGAUCAAAGAUGCAGAUCUUGUCUUCCCAUAUUGGUGGCGAAGUAGAUCGAAGAAAGCAGAUCUUGUCUUCAUGUAUUGGCGUGAAGUAGAUCGAAGGUAGCAGAUCCUAUCUUCCUAUAUUGGUAGGAAGUGGAUCGAAGAUGCAGAUCUUGUCUUCCCAUAUUGGUGGCGAAGUAGAUCGAAGAAAGCAGAUCUUGUCUUCAUGUAUUGGCGUGAAGUAGAUCGAAGGUAGCAGAUCCUAUCUUCCUAUAUUGGUAGGAAGUGGAUCGAAGAUGCAGAUCUUGUCUUCCCAUAUUGGUGGCGAAGUAGAUCGUAGAAAGCAGAUCUUGUCUUCAUGUAUUGGCGUGAAGUAGAUCGAAGGUAGCAGAUCCUAUCUUCCUAUAUUGGUAGGAAGGGGAUCGAAGAUGCAGAUCUUGUCUUCCCAUAUUGGUGGCGAAGUAGAUCGCAGAAAGCAGGUCUUGUCUUCAUGUAUUGGCGUGAAGUAGAUCGAAGAUAGCAGGUCCUAUCUUCCUAUAUUGAUAGGAAGUGGAUCCAAGAUGCAGAUCUUGUCUUCCCAUACUAGUGGUGAAGUAGAUCGAAAAAAAAAAAAAGCAGAUCUGGUAUUCAUAUAUUGGUUUGAAGUAGAUCGAAGAUUGCAGAUCUUGCCUUCCUGUAUUUGGCAGCGAAGCAGAUCAAAGAUGGCGGAUUUUACCUCCCUGACUAUAGUGGAGUACAUUGAAGCCGAUAAUUCUAUCUCCCUGUAUUUGGCAGUGGAAUAGAUUGAAGAUUACAGAUCUUACCUUCCUGUAUUUGGCAGCGAAGCAGAUCAAAGAUGUCAGAUUUUACCUCCCUGACUACAGUGGAGUACAUUGAAGCCGAUAACUCUAUCUCCCUGUAUUUGGCAGUGGAAUAGAUUGAAGAUUACAGAUCUUAUCUCCCUAAGCAAUAAUGGAGUAGGUUGAAGACGGCAGAUUUUACCUCACUGAUUACAAUGGAGUACAUUGAAGCUGUUAGUUCUACUUCCCUGGGAAACAUUGGAAUAGAUUGAAGAUUUCAGGUCUUAUCUCCCUAAGUAGUAGUGGAGCAGAUCACACCCAAUCUUAUCUCCCUAAAUAGUAGUGGAGCAGACUAAAAACACAAAUCUCAUCCCCAUGGAGUCGUAGCAAAGUAUAUUGAAGCUACAAGGCGUAUCUGAAUUUGAAGUAGAGUGGAUCGAAGCAACAAGAUGUAGCAGGCUGGAAUAAGGCUACUUGAAGAAGAGAAGCACCCAAAGAAGUCAAGCCUCGGUGAGACCAGGCAAAUUUGGUCUUUUUUUAGUCCUUGCUCUGUUCUUGUUACACAAAAACGAGCAAAGAGGGGCAGCUGUAGAAGCCCAAAUUUGCCGGGCCCAUACCAACAAAAUAACCCAAACAAUAAACCCGAAGCCCAACUACCCCAGCCCAUUAACCUAAGCUCAGCAUUCAGAAACCCUAAUCCCACUAGCCCUAGCCACCUACCCCCCACUUGCCCACUUGCCCACUUGCGCCGAACACCACCAUGCCACUGUCGGCCAUGGCCACCUGCAAGAAGCCAAGUAGAAAUAAACAAAUAGAAAAUAAACAUUUGUAAUCGGUUAUAAAAACUGAAAAUCUCACCAUUGAUAGGGGGAUUUUUUAUUUUUUGCUAUGAAACAAAAGAUUUUCUUUCAAUAUUAACAGAUUCAAUACAAGAACCAUUCGAAAAUAUAUAUACUAUCAGGGGCUCUAACACCAAAUCGGAGAAUCAAAUCUAAAACCUAAGGUGACUCUUUCUUUUUUUUUUUCUUUACUGUUUUGAGUUUAUUUUCUACAUAAAAAUACUAAAAAAUAUUAAAACAUAAAAAUAUAUGCAUUAUUAAGCAAAAAAAAAGAAAAAAAAUAUUUUUUUUACCUUUUCCAGCCACCGCGUGCGGUGGCCGGCGCCGGCGCCGGCGCCGGCGAGCCUCCGGUGGCCGUCCGGUGACCGGCCCACCCCCCUGGCCGGAUUCCCCUUUCCCCCUCCCUUCUCUCUCCCUUCUCUCUUCUCUCUCUCUCUCUUUUUUCUUUCCCUCUCCCCAAAUGAUUUUUUUUGGCUAUUUUAGGCCUUUAUAUAGCCCUCCAAAACGACGUCGUUUUGGGGGCUACACUUAAGCCUCAAAACGACGUCGUUUUGGCCAUGCCCGACCCAUCCGACCCGACCCGCUAGAGGAUCCGCGUGUUUUCGUUUGAAUGGGAUAUUUAUGCGCGCAGUCCUUCCGCUUUUCUGAUGCUUCACAAUUAAGUUUUUUAUGGCUUUCAAUUUGGCCCUAUAAUUUCUCGCGCUUUUCGAUUUAGUCCCCGCCAAUGUGCUGCAUUUUAAUGGAAAGGAAUAAUUGUUGUUUCGGUCCCCCAACAUUUCACGCGCGUACAAUUAAGUCCCUUUUCUUUGUUUUCAUUUCAAAUUGGCCCCAUAACUUUGUUUUUAAUUCAAUUUUAGUCCUUUUUUGUUGAUUUUUAUAUCUUUAUUAAAUAUCCUUGUUAUUUUUAUAUUACCAUUAUUAUUAUUAUUAUGUAUUAGUAUAUAUUUUUAUUAUGUACGUGUAUACCUAUAUAUAUUCUCAUAUUUAAUAUUUUUAUUUCACUUUAUUUUAAUAUUUUAUUAAUGUUAUGUUUGUUUCUUUUAUAUUCCAAUGUUAUCAUUAUUAUUAUUCUUAUUAUUUUUAUUAGUUUAUGCUUUGUUAUAUAUUUAUAUAUUUAUAAUACGUAUAUAUACUUGAUAUAUUUGUAUAUACCUCGGUAAUAUUAUUACUAGUUUUCAAUAUACGCAUAUAUUACCUAAAUAUUUUAGUAUUAUGUAAAUAUUUUAACAUUAUAUUAUAUAUGUAUUUAUAUAUUACGUAUGUACAUAUACCUUUUAAUAUUAUAUUUUGUAUUACGUAAAUAUUAUUUUAAAUACUGUAUUGUAUAUAUAUAUCCUUAGUACCACGUUACAUAUAUAUUGUGUAUAUACUUGUUUUCUUACCCUUAUUAUAUUCAUUGUUAAUACAUUUAUUUUUUUUAUACAUGUAUACGUACCCUUUUUAUAAUAUUAUUUUUUACACAUAUAUGUAUAUAUUUAUCUAUGUUUUCAUAUUCUAUAAUUUAUAUGCAUUUCUUAUUUUAUGGCUUAAAAUUAUACAUGCAUAUACUUUUUUACAUAAUUGUAUUUAUUGUCAUCAUUGUUAUUUGGCGUUUGUUUAUUUAUUCAUGUACACUUGUGCUUUUUCUAAAAGGUUAGUUCUAUUUAUUUAUUUGUAUGCUUUGUUUAUGUAAUCGCCUCGUCAUUUCAUUUUGCCUAUUGUAUUGUUGUUACUCACUUUACUUUGCUCACCUCGUCGUAUUCGUUGUUGUUUUGUCAAGCAUUGACACUAAACAUCAAAAGGAAAAUUUUUCUAAAUGAGGCAAUAUUUCGCGUUUGGAAAAUCGAGAAACAUGCCCUAACGUGCUGGGUUUCGAUUCCUCGUUCGACUAAAUAGCCAAAUAUCCUCUUAAAGCUUCAAAGUAUGGUUUCAUUAAACUAUAAGGUGAUCUUGGUUUCGAUGGUUUAGAGUAUCGUGUCCUAACGUGCUGGAUGUGAUAUUCCUUCGGAACAAGAGAAUCUUAUAUUUCAAUUCACGUUAUCAGAGUUUCUUUUAAGGAUCGCAUUUUUAAAACUCUUCAAAUUUUCAAUUUUCGACACUAAGACACUGAUUAAUCAACUAGGUACCAAUUUUGGGCGUAUCGAGGGUGCUAAUCCUUCCUCGUGCGUAACCGACUCCCGAACCCAUUUUUCUGAAUUUCGUAGACAAAAAAAUCGUUGUUUUAAUAAAAUCUAAAUCGUUUAUUAAAAACAACCGUUUUACGAGGUGACCCGAUCACACCUCAUCAAAAAAGAUUGGUGGCGACUCCCAUUUUUCGUUUUAUUUUCAAAAUCCAAGUCGACCCCGUUUCCAUCCAAAAAAAAGGUGUCAACAGCUUGGCGACUCCGCUGGGGAAAAUAAGAGAGUCAAGCCACGUGUUGAUUAUUUCUUGUCUUUUUGUUGAAAGUGGAAAAUUCGAUUUAAAUUUACGAUCCUCUCAUUGCAUCUCUUUUGUUUUGGGUUAUAUUUUUUUAUCGUGUUCUGUAUUUUAUUUUAUACCUCUGCACAUUGCAUUGCAUGACCGCUGGUCACACCUUUUAAGUGGGAGUGAGAAACUACGCAUUCGUGAGGUUUUCACCUCCGCAUGGGAUAGUGAAUCGCUUUCGGGAUACAUCCGUACCUAUGUCUUCGUGAGAUUUUCAUCUCCGCAUGGCCAUAGGGAAAUGUAUUCCCCUGAACUGAACUCGGUCCAUAUGAGCCUAUAAUGGGUGAGGAUCGAGGAAUCUGCUGGUUCAGGUACCCUUACUUUAGAACCAAACCACACAUAGCGAGCCAUAAGAACCCACCGAGAUAGAGCUAUUCCAGACCCUAGUGCUUACCGAAUAGAUGCUUUAUUUAUUAUUGUUUACUUUAAAUCCUAGAUCUAAUUUGCUUUGUUUGUGAUUGCAUGGCAUUUUCAUUUCAAAAGAGGUGUCGAUUCACGUUCAGUAUAGAUAGAAAGCUUAUCAUGGAAAAGAGGUUUCUUGAUAAAGUAGAAGACAAUGCAGCUGUACUAUUAUGGGCUGAGACGAUGUGGAGAGAGAAAGGCGAUAGUCUUGCAGAAGGGUACGUAUCAGAGUUAUGGGACUUCACCCGUAUCAGCGUAAUCCAAAAUGAUCUUCGAGAAAUGAAGGAAAUAUGGGAUCAAUGGGACGACGGGACCAAGCAGAUGUUUUACUGUGACUACGGGGACUUGCCUUACCUACUUGGUAUCAAAGUGGACAAGCAUUUAUUCCGAGCCCUAGCCCAGUUUUGGAAUCCUGCUUACAGUUGUUUCACUUUUGGAAAAGUGGACUUGGUUCCCACCAUGGAAGAAUAUACGACCCUGCUUCGGUGUCCAAAGAUUCAAAUUGACAAAGCCUAUUCUAGAGCUGCUAGUGUCCCGACAUUAUUAAAAAAAUUGAUGAGCAUUACAGGGAUGAGCGAACAGUGGGUCGCUGCCCGGAUCCAACAGAAAGGAGACAGUAAAUGCGUUCCUUGGAAAAGCUUGCGGGAUUUAGUAUUAGCACACCCUGAUGUGAAGAAAAGAGUGGAUGUCUUCGCUCUAGGUAUCUAUGGAUUGGUAAUUUUCCCUAGAGCUUUAGGGCACGUAGAUGAGGCCGUCUCUGAUUUAUUCGAUCGGCUUAGUAAAGGAGUCACGCCCAUCCCGGCAAUCUUAGCAGAAACCUUCAGAUCUCUAAGCGCAUGUCGAAGAGCAGGGGAGGGAAGGUUCAUCGGAUGCGCGCAGCUACUAUUGGUGUGGUUCCAUAGUCACUUUUGGAAGGUGGAAAAUGUCUCCUAUCGAGUCUUCUCAGAAGACUAUUCUCCAUUGAAGGAACAAGUUGCUACACUAAGACAAGACGACAUCACGGAAGAAAAGUGGAUGACGAUGCUCCAAAAUCUUCAGGAGGAUGACGUUGAAUGGAAAGCUCCUUGGAUGGUACCCGACGAGAUCCUGUACCGAUGUGGGGAUUUCGACUGGGUCCCUUUACUCGGAAUUUGGGGAGCUGUCGGUUAUGCCCCUUUACUCGUAUUAAGACAAUAUAGAUCGAGACAGUUCAUACCAGCAACACAAGGGCUGGCUCAAUGUGAGUUUUCUUAUAAGGAUGAAAACUACAAGAGAAAAACUCGAGAAAUAUCUAACGCUUGGAAACAGGUUCACCGAUUGAAAAGAUUUACCGUAGGAGCGAUGGCAACUUCAGAAUAUUAUGGGUGGUGGAGUAAAAGAGUCAAUGACAACAUCCCUAAGCCGAGGGAAGAUUGUGUUCAGUCUAUAGAGGAGCAUCUACAAGUAGUUCCGUCAGAAUUAGAGAUCAUCAAACGAGACUUUGAGAAAAGAAAUUCUGAGUUGGGAAAGAGGAUAGAACAGUUAGAAGAAGAAAGAGUGCAUUUGGGAUUAGACAUCGAUAUCCACAAGCUAGAAGCCGAGAAAUUAAGGAAGGGAAAGAACAAAGCUGAAGAGGAUUUGGAUAGUCUAAAAACAGAUUACAAGAAGCUGCGAUUGUCGAUGAGAACUGUCGGUCUGGGUAAAACGUCAGAGCAGUGGCGACAAGAGAUCAAUGAGGAAAAGAAUAGGGCCAAUCAGUGGGAAAAGAAAUUUCAAGAUGCUCUAGCUCGAGAAAACGCUUUGGAAAGGAGUUUGUUAGAGUGCCGAAAUGAGAAGGCAGGAUUAAAGGUCAAGGUGGCAGAGCUAGAAAAGUCACUUCACUCGUACCGUAGUCGCAACUCCAUGAUCGAAUUAAGAGCAAGCUUAAAUAAGAUCGAAGAACUGAAAGGAAAGGUAGAGGAGCUUGAGGACGCAUUACACAAUUCUGAGCUACGAAUGGAGCUUCUUGAGAGGAGUAAUGAUCAAUGGCAAGAGCAAUUCCAUCAUUCUCAAAGGCAGAUUAGAGAUAGAGAUUACGUUAUGGGCGAAGCUGUGACUCAAGUGCGGGAAGUGGCUGAUCAUCUGUAAACAUUAGCAGUUCAGGCCGAUGUAUUGAGUUUAAAAUAUGAGUCAGAAUCAAGCCGAGGUCGAAAUUUAGCGUGGCUUCUUAGGAAGGUUAAGGCUUUGGGUAUAAAGGCGAAGCCGUAUAUGUAAUUUAUUUUAUGUAAAGAAAUUUGCUUUCUAGUUGAGUUUUCUAAUGAAAUUGAAUUCGAAUCAAUGCAUCUUUUUUGCAUUCAUCUCAUACAUUUGCAUUACAUCUCAUAAAAUGACCCUAAUAAAAUUAAAUUAUGACAGUUACCCUGGAAACCAACCAAAAUCUAAUCAAAUAUCACUACGGUACUCGUCGCCAAACAAAAGCAAUGGAUCAAAGGUUGGAAAGAUUGGAACAGUUGCAACGAGAGAUGCAAGAUCAGAUGCAUGAACGACUGGAAAAAAUCUAGCAGGACAUGUUAGAAUCCCAGAACACUGUGAUGAACCAAUUAAAGUAGUUAUUGGCUGGAGGAAAUAACAAAGGAAAAGACCCCGUAGUUGAUGCUGGGGAAGAUCACGAUGACCCUGUUUAUCCUCCAGGUUUCACCCCAACUAACAUCCAAGCACAACCAGAGGUGUACCCACAGAGGGUACCGGUUACCAUUAGACCUCAAUAUCUGGCUGGUGCCUCGGUACCAUUGCAUUUUCAAAUGGGCUCGGGUUCUAAUCCCGGGGAUAAUCCCACUAAUCCUGUGGUCCCGGACCUCGAUGACGUGGCAGAAACAGAAAAAACAAGAACGAACCUGCCAAAACAACUAGAGGACCGAUGUAGAUGGUUAGAGGAAAAAUUUAGAGUCAUGGAGAACAUCGACUAUCAUCGCGGGGUUGACGCCAAGGAUCUGAGUUUGGUCCCUGAUUUAGUACUCCCACCUAAGUUCAAAAUGCCGGAAUUCGAAAAAUAUAAUGGAACUAGUUGUCCUGAAGCUCAUAUAACUAUGUUCUGUCGAAGAAUGACAGGAUACGUCAACAACGAUCAACUGUUAAUCCACUGCUUCCAGGACAGUUUGAUCGGAUCUGCAGCCAAAUGGUACAACCAACUGAGUCGUGCUAAAGUUAGUUCAUGGAGAGACUUGGCGCAAGCUUUUAUGAAGCAGUACAGUCAUGUAACGGAUAUAACACCCGAUCGAAUUACGUUACAAAACAUGGAGAAAAGGCCCAGCGAGAAUUUCAGGCAGUACGCCCAACGAUGGAGAGAAGUGGCAACACAAGUCCAGCCACCCCUUUUGGAAAAAGAGGUCACCAUGUUGUUUAUCAACACUCUGAAAGCCCCGUUCAUCAACCACAUGUUGGGGAGUGCUACCAAGAGCUUCUCGGAUAUGGUAAUGUCCGGUGAAAUGAUUGAGAAUGCGGUAAGGAGCGGUAAGAUUGACACGGGGGAAAACUUCAAAAGACCAGCCCCAAGGAAAAAAGAGGGCGAAGUAAACAACGUAAGCACAUAUAGCAAGAGCCAUUCAAAACCGAUUACUGUUGGCCCUCCAAAAAUGAUAACCACUAGUCACCAAGCCCCCUCGAGGCAGGAACCCAACACAAGGCCCAACACAAGGACUAACACAGAGAGACUUCAAUUCACGCCCAUUCCAAUAACAUACGGGGAACUGUAUCAGAAGUUAUUUGAUGCACACAUAGUAUCUCCAUUUUAUCUCGAGCCCAUGCAACCUCCAUAUCCCAAAUGGUAUGACACGAAUGCCCAAUGUGAAUACCAUGCAGGGAUACCAGGACACUCAAUUGAGAACUGCACUGGGUUUAAAAAGGCGGUGGAAAGGUUCAUUAAGAUGGGGAUUGUGAAGUUUGACAACCCAUUAGGGCCCAACGUAGCAGCGAAUCCGUUACCCAACCAUGCUGAUAAAGGGGUAAACGCAAUAAUCGAAUGUGAGAAAAAGAGAAUCAAAACCGACAUUGCAGGGAUAAAAACCCCAUUGAGUUGGGUUUGGAGACAAAUGAUAGAAAGAGGUCUCAUCAAACAAGAUUCAAAAGAAAGGCCCGAAGGAACAAAGACGUACUGCGAGUUUCAUGCGGAAGAAGACCAUGACAUUCAAAACUGCACUGAAUUCAAGGCCAUGGUGCAAAAUCUGAUGAACAACAAAGAGCUAGAAUUUUAUGAAGAGAUCAAAGGACUUGAAAAUGGAGAAGUUUAUGCCUCGGAGGAGGGGCCUACGGGAAAGGCCUCAAAUCACCCAGUGGUGAUUAUUUCAAGACCAACGAGUACAGGAUCUGGAAUACAACUGGCGCCAAGGGUCAUAAUCCAAAAACCUGUAGCCUUUCCUUACAAGGAUAGCAAAAUGGUUCCUUGGAAUUACGACUGCAAUGUGAUGAUCACGGGAGAGGAGAACCCGAUAAAUGCUUCAGAAGGGGGUAAUGGCGCAGGCUUCUAUACGCGUAGUGGAAAACGUUACGACCUGGGAAAUACAAAAAGGGAGCCUAUAAAAGGAAAAGCCUUGGCGGUUGAACAAGAUAAAACGAAGACGACCGGAAUUGAACCGCAUAUUAACACACCGGUGACUGAAAAUAAGGCUAAAGAAUUUCUAAAAUUCUUGAGGCAUAGCGAGUAUAGCGUGGUGGAACAAUUGCAUAAGCAACCCGCUCGCAUCUCAGUGCUCGAGUUACUUCUAAGUUCAGAGAUACAUCGUAAUGCGUUGGUAAAAGUGCUAAAUGAGACUUAUGUCGCUAAAGAUAUCUCAGUGAACAAAUUGGAUCACCUGGUUAACAAUAUAAAUGCCGAUAACUUCAUCUUCUUCAACGAUGAUGAGAUCCCGCUAGGUGGUAUGGGAUCUACCAAGACCUUGCACAUCACUGCCCGUUGCAAGGGGUGUAUACUACCGGCGGUACUUGUGGACAAUGGAUCGGCCCUGAAUGUUUUACCCCUGUCCACAUUAAACAGGCUACCUGUGGAUAGUUCUCACAUGAAAUCAUGCCAAAAUAUAGUGAGAGCAUUUGAUGGCACUGAGAGAAAAGUGAUGGGGAGAAUCGAGAUACCUCUAUUGAUUGGUCCAAAUACAUACGAGGUGGACUUUUUGGUAAUGGAUAUUAAACCAUCUUACAAUUGCCUAUUGGGGAGGCCUUGGAUCCAUUCUACAGGAGCUGUACCAUCGUCACUUCACCAAAAGUUAAAAUUGGUGAUAGAGGGUUGAUUGGUGACUAUAGGUGUAGAAGAAGACAUCAUUGCAUCAGUCACCGAUGAUAUGCCAUACAUAGAGGCUGAUAGUGAAGCGAUAGAAUGUUCAUUUUGAUCAUUGAAAUUCGUAAAUGCCACAUUUGUCAUCGAGAUGAGCAAAAUCCCAAAGCCUAAGAUAUCCAAAGCUACGUCAAUGAGCUUACAGCUAACGAUGGGGAAGGGAGCAUUGCCUGGAAGAGGAUUGGGAAAAUACCUCCAGGGAAGGGUCGGAGUACCGAUCCUAGUUAACAAACAGGACCGUUAUGGUUUGGGAUAUAAGCCUAAUGCGAGGGAAAGGAGGAAGGAGAUGGAGAAAAAGCAAGAAAGGAGAAGAGCAUAUUUGGGCGGGAUAGAAGCCAAGUGGGGACCGAUAACCUUUCCUCUUAUAUCUAAGACUUUUGUUUCAGGGGGAAUUGUCCACCCUGAAGAGAAUGAUGAGGUUACAGAAGGAAGGAUUGAGAUGUUGGACAUCAAUGCCAUAUCUGCGGAAGAAAGGGUGGAAAGGAAUUUAUCGGGCAUUCGUCCUUACGAACCUGGAAGUGUUCUGAAUAACUGGACUGCAGAAGAGAUCCCUGUAACAUUUAGAACUAAUUCAGAGUAAUAUUCAGAACACUUGUUGCCCUAAGCCUGGGGGUGAUAAGAAUCUUUUGUAAAAGGCACAUGUCCAAAAUCUAAUUUCAGUGAAAACUUAUCAUUCAGUUUCAUCUUAAGCAAAUAUUCUUUCAUUCUUUUCAUUCCCUUUAUAAUCAUACUAUGCAUACAAGUAUUCUUAGAUUCUUUUAUUUGGGCCUCCAUUUGUUCCAAUAACAGGUCUUCAGAUAUCAACGAGAUGAGCGACUCUGUUACUAAUUCAGAGUCUCUAUUUGAGUAAGACAUGAGUGUAGAUGAUCCUCAAGAUUUUGAAGGCGACCAAGACAGCGUUUUAUCUCCGGAUUUGUUAAGAAUGAUGGAAGAAGAAGAAAAACAAAUUCUACCCUAUAAGGAAUCAGUAGAAGUUGUGAUCUUAGAAGAGGGCAGAGAGGUAAAAAUUGGCGCUUGCAUUGCCAAGGAAACAAGACAAGACCUUGUUGAGUUGCUUCAAGAGUUUAAAGAUAUCUUCGCGUGGUCCUACCAAGAUAUGCCAGGGUUAAGUACUGAUAUCGUGGUACACCGAUUGCCUAUAAAGGAAGAAUGCAAACCAGUCCAACAAAAGCUCCGAAGGAUGAGGCCUGAUGUCUUGCUAAAAAUAAAGGAAGAAGUUAAGAAGCAAUUUGAUGCUGGUUUCUUACAGGUGGUCAAGUACUCAGAAUGGGUAGCCAAUAUAGUCCCUGUUCCUAAGAAAGAUGGGAAGGUGCGAAUGUGUGUGGACUACAGAGACUUGAACAAAGCCAGCCCAAAAGAUAAUUUCCCACUGCCUCAUAUCGAUACCUUGGUAGACAACACGGCCGGAUACUCACUGUUCUCUUUCAUGGAUGGUUUCUCCGGGUACAACCAAAUUAAGAUGCUUUCUGAAGACAGGGAGAAGACCACAUUCAUAACGUUGUGGGGGACGUUUUGUUAUAAAGUGAUGCCUUUUGGAUUGAAAAAUGCGGGAGCAACGUAUCAGAGAGCCAUGGUAGCAUUAUUCCAUGAUAUGAUGCAUAAAGAGAUAGAAGUUUAUGUUGAUGACAUGAUCGCAAAAUCCAGAACAGAAAGGGAACACGUGCAAGUUCUGAGAAAACUGUUUCUGAGGUUAAGGAAGUUCCAGCUAAAACUUAACCCAGCCAAGUGUACUUUCGGGGCUAGAUCAGGAAAAUUGCUAGGAUUCUUAGUCAGCGAAAAGGGAAUUGAAAUUGACCCAGACAAAGUUAAGGCCAUACAAGAAUUACCUCCGCCAAGUACUCAAAAAGAAGUUCGGGGUUUCCUAGGAAGACUAAAUUACAUCGCUCGAUUCAUUUCACAAUUAACUGAGAAAUGUGACCCCAUAUUCCGUCUUCUUAGGAAACACAAUCCAGGUGUAUGGGAUGAGGAGUGCCAGAAAACUUUCGAAAGAGUUAAACAUUACUUGUCCAACGCCCCAGUACUGAUGCCACCUUGCCCUGACAAACCACUGAUACUAUACUUGGCAGUAUUUGAGAAUUCCAUGGGGUGCGUGCUCGGCCAACAUGAUGAGUCAGGACGAAAAGAAAGAGCGAUCUAUUAUCUCAGUAAGAAGUUCACUGAAUGCGAAGCGAGAUAUUCGCCAAUUGAAAAAUUAUGUUGCGCAUUGGUUUGGACUACUCGGAGAUUGAGACAAUACAUGUUGUACCAUACGACUUGGUUAAUCUCAAAGUUAGAUCCUCUGAAAUACAUGAUGGAGUCAACUGCUCUAAACGGAAAGAUGGCCCGAUGGCAAAUUCUACUAUCUGAAUUUGACAUAACCUAUGUGAAUCAAAAGGCUGUAAAAGGGAGCGCGAUAGCAGAUUUUCUAGCAAGUAGAGCCCUGGACGAUUAUGAGCCUUUGAACUUUGAUUUCCCAAAUGAGGAUCUGAUGUAUGUGGCAACUAUUGAAGUAAGCACACAAGAAGGCAAUACUUGGAAAUUAAAUUUUGACGGAGCCUCAAAUGCCAUGGGCAACGGGAUUGGGGCAGUCUUGGUAUCUCCAAACGGUGAUCAUUAUCCUUUCACCAGUAAACUAGAUUUUGAUUGCACAAAUAACAUGGCGGAAUAUGAAGCAUGUAUCAUGGGAAUCCACGCGGCUAUGGAACGCAAAAUCAAGAUACUUGAGGUAUAUGGGGAUUCGGCAUUGGUAAUUUAUCAGCUCAAAGGCGAAUGGGAAACAAGAGACCCUAAGUUGAUUAGUUACCGAAGGAUAGUCCUAGAAUUGAUUGAGGAGUUUGACGACAUCACUUUUUGUUAUCUCCCACGAGACGAGAAUCAGAUGGCCGACGCUUUAGCUACAUUGGCUUCCAUGAUCAAAGUAAAUAGACCAGAGGAUGUGAAGCCUAUCCAAAUGAGCAUUUAUGAUGCUCCAGCCCACUGUUGUAACAUUGACGAAGAAGAAGAAAAGGACGACAACCCUUGGUAUCAGGAUAUAUUGCGAUACGUAAAAAAUCGUGAAUACCCAAACCAAGCAACUGAGAAUGACAAGAGAAUGUUGAGGAGGCUGGCCAGUGGUUACGUCUUAGAUGGAGAGAUCCUGUACAAAAGAGGAAAAGAUCAGGUGCUGUUAAGAUGUGUGGACGCUGUGGAGGCCAAACAGAUCUUGGAAGAAGUCCAUGAUGGUAUUUGUGGAACACACGCUAACGGUUUCACAAUGGCCAGACAGAUCAUGAGAUUUGGAUAUUAUUGGUCUACCAUGGAAGGAGACUGCAUCAAAUAUGCUAAGAAGUGCCAUAAAUGUCAGAUUUACGGAGACAAAAUUCAUGUGCCUCCAUCACCUCUUCACGUCAUGACUUCCCCAUGGCCUUUCUCCAUGUGGGGCAUGGACGUCAUUGGGCCGAUAUCGCCAAAGGCUUCAAACGGACAUCGUUUCAUUUUUGUAGUGAUUGACUACUUUACUAAGUGGGUAGAGGCUACUUCUUACGCCAACGUCACAAAGGUAGCUGUCAGCAAGUUUUUAAAGAAGGAAAUCAUAUGUCGGUAUGGAAUGCCCGAAAGGAUUAUAUCUGACAACGCAUUAAAUUUGAAUAAUAGCACGAUAGCAGAGGUUUGUAGUCAAUUCAAUAUCAAGCACCACAACUCAUCGCCAUACCGUCCAAAAAUGAAUGGUGCGGUGGAGGCAGCCAAUAAAAAUAUCAAAAGGAUUGUGGGGAAAAUGACUGAGACCUAUAGAGAUUGGCACGAGAAGUUGCCAUUCGCCCUCUAUGCUUAUCGAACGUCCGUCAGGACUUCUACCGGGGCAACACCAUUCUCUUUGGUUUAUGGAAUGGAGGCAGUGCUACCAAUUGAGGUUGAAAUUCCCUCUCUCCGAGUUUUUUCAGAACUAAAGUUAGACGAAGCAGAAUGGGUCCAAUCCCGAUAUGAUCAGCUGAACUUGAUUGAAGAAAGGAGGUUAAGAGCUAUCCGUCAUGGUCAAAUGUACCAGAAACGAAUGAUGCGAGCUUACAAUAAGAAAGUUCGUCCUAGAAACUUCCAUGAAGGGGACUUGGUACUGAAGAAGAUCCUUCCUAUGCAAAAAGACUUCAGAGGAAAGUGGAUGCCAAACUGGGAGGGACCUUAUGUAGUAAAAAAGGCCUUUUCAGGAGGGGCAUUAAUUCUAACUGGGAUGGAUGGCAAAAGCUUGCCCAAUCCUGUGAAUUCGGAUUCAGUGAAGAGGUACUUUGCCUAAAAAAAAAAAAAAAAAAGGGAGAGGCCAAGGCGAAAACCCGCAAAGGGCACCUUGAAACCAAAGGGGUUUUGAAUUGAAAACCCAGGAAUGGGCAAUUCAAAUUUUCGAUCAAAGAUGAGGCAUAAAGUAGUUUUGUCUUCUUCGAAUUAACAAGAAGGAAAGAUGCUAUAUCUUGGGGCAUCAACAAAGCCUUCUAGGACUUCUAAACACAUAUCAAGUUCAAAAGGGUCCUUAAGAAGUUUGGGGCAGAGAAGCUCAUGCUACGAUAUCUGGGGCACCUAUUUCUAUUUUAUUCAUUUUUUUGUAUUUUUGACAAAAUACAUCAUCUUGAUUAAUUUAUUCUCGUUUUGUAUUCUAGCAAAAUUUGCUAUCUUGAUUAAUUUGUUUAUUUAGAGCUUUGCUCUCAGCAAAUUUUCAUCUUAUCCGUUGUGAUAAUCUUUUUCAUCUUAUUCCUCUCGUAUCUCAGCAAAAUUUGCUAUCUUGAUUUGUUUGUUUAGAGCUUUGCUCUCAACAAAAUUUCAUUUUGUCCAUUUUAAUAAUCUUUUUCAAGCAUUUUUCAUUGAAAUAACGAUUAAUGGACUGACAAUACACAUGCAGAAGGAGUUCUGCAUAUUACUCUGAAAGUUUCUAAAUAAUACGAGGACCUGAAACAGGACUAUUGUUUAGAACUAACCAAACCUAAGGGUUGGAAACAUUUGAGAAAUGAUAGUCUAAAUAGCAUCUAUUUCUUUAGGUUUUCUGUCAAAGGUACUGGCUGAACAAGAAGGCAUCAGUGAUAGAACCUUGAUGAACAAUGAGGAAUGACAACCUAAGCAUUAAAAAUGAAUCAUUCUCAUGACAUUCUACAAAUAUAAUACAUACACAUCUAGUUAGGAGCAUUUGAUUCAUUAUAAUCAUGUCAUCCUAAACACUAGGCGUAAAUAGGUCCUAUCUUCCUAUAUUGGUAGGAAGUGGAUCAAAGAUGCAGAUCUUGUCUUCCCAUAUUGGUGGCGAAGUAGAUCGAAGAAAGCAGAUCUUGUCUUCAUGUAUUGGCGUGAAGUAGAUCGAAGGUAGCAGAUCCUAUCUUCCUAUAUUGGUAGGAAGUGGAUCGAAGAUGCAGAUCUUGUCUUCCCAUAUUGGUGGCGAAGUAGAUCGAAGAAAGCAGAUCUUGUCUUCAUGUAUUGGCGUGAAGUAGAUCGAAGGUAGCAGAUCCUAUCUUCCUAUAUUGGUAGGAAGUGGAUCGAAGAUGCAGAUCUUGUCUUCCCAUAUUGGUGGCGAAGUAGAUCGUAGAAAGCAGAUCUUGUCUUCAUGUAUUGGCGUGAAGUAGAUCGAAGGUAGCAGAUCCUAUCUUCCUAUAUUGGUAGGAAGGGGAUCGAAGAUGCAGAUCUUGUCUUCCCAUAUUGGUGGCGAAGUAGAUCGCAGAAAGCAGGUCUUGUCUUCAUGUAUUGGCGUGAAGUAGAUCGAAGAUAGCAGGUCCUAUCUUCCUAUAUUGAUAGGAAGUGGAUCCAAGAUGCAGAUCUUGUCUUCCCAUACUAGUGGUGAAGUAGAUCGAAAAAAAAAAAAGCAGAUCUGGUAUUCAUAUAUUGGUUUGAAGUAGAUCGAAGAUUGCAGAUCUUGCCUUCCUGUAUUUGGCAGCGAAGCAGAUCAAAGAUGGCGGAUUUUACCUCCCUGACUAUAGUGGAGUACAUUGAAGCCGAUAAUUCUAUCUCCCUGUAUUUGGCAGUGGAAUAGAUUGAAGAUUACAGAUCUUACCUUCCUGUAUUUGGCAGCGAAGCAGAUCAAAGAUGUCAGAUUUUACCUCCCUGACUACAGUGGAGUACAUUGAAGCCGAUAACUCUAUCUCCCUGUAUUUGGCAGUGGAAUAGAUUGAAGAUUACAGAUCUUAUCUCCCUAAGCAAUAAUGGAGUAGGUUGAAGACGGCAGAUUUUACCUCACUGAUUACAAUGGAGUACAUUGAAGCUGUUAGUUCUACUUCCCUGGGAAACAUUGGAAUAGAUUGAAGAUUUCAGGUCUUAUCUCCCUAAGUAGUAGUGGAGCAGAUCACACCCAAUCUUAUCUCCCUAAAUAGUAGUGGAGCAGACUAAAAACACAAAUCUCAUCCCCAUGGAGUCGUAGCAAAGUAUAUUGAAGCUACAAGGCGUAUCUGAAUUUGAAGUAGAGUGGAUCGAAGCAACAAGAUGUAGCAGGCUGGAAUAAGGCUACUUGAAGAAGAGAAGCACCCAAAGAAGUCAAGCCUCGGUGAGACCAGGCAAAUUUGGUCUUUUUUUAGUCCUUGCUCUGUUCUUGUUACACAAAAACGAGCAAAGAGGGGCAGCUGUAGAAGCCCAAAUUUGCCGGGCCCAUACCAACAAAAUAACCCAAACAAUAAACCCGAAGCCCAACUACCCCAGCCCAUUAACCUAAGCUCAGCAUUCAGAAACCCUAAUCCCACUAGCCCUAGCCACCUACCCCCCACUUGCCCACUUGCCCACUUGCGCCGAACACCACCAUGCCACUGUCGGCCAUGGCCACCUGCAAGAAGCCAAGUAGAAAUAAACAAAUAGAAAAUAAACAUUUGUAAUCGGUUAUAAAAACUGAAAAUCUCACCAUUGAUAGGGGGAUUUUUUAUUUUUUGCUAUGAAACAAAAGAUUUUCUUUCAAUAUUAACAGAUUCAAUACAAGAACCAUUCGAAAAUAUAUAUACUAUCAGGGGCUCUAACACCAAAUCGGAGAAUCAAAUCUAAAACCUAAGGUGACUCUUUCUUUUUUUUUUCUUUACUGUUUUGAGUUUAUUUUCUACAUAAAAAUACUAAAAAAUAUUAAAACAUAAAAAUAUAUGCAUUAUUAAGCAAAAAAAAAGAAAAAAAAAAUAUUUUUUUUACCUUUUCCAGCCACCGCGUGCGGUGGCCGGCGCCGGCGCCGGCGCCGGCGAGCCUCCGGUGGCCGUCCGGUGACCGGCCCACCCCCCUGGCCGGAUUCCCCUUUCCCCCUCCCUUCUCUCUCCCUUCUCUCUUCUC
rnacentral:lncRNA from 1 species